rnacentral:rRNA from 1 species
GACGAACGCUGGCGGCGUGCUUAACACAUGCCAGUCGAACGGACAGGCCCCUUUGGGGGUACUCGAGUGGCGAACGGGUGAGUAACACGUGAGUAACCUGCCCUUGACUUCGGGAUAACUUCAGGAAACUGGGGCUAAUACCGGAUAGGAAUCCUUGCUGCAUGGUGGGGGUUGGAAAGCUUCGGCGGUUUUGGAUGGACUCGCGGCUUAUCAGCUUGUUGGUGGGGUAGUGGCUUACCAAGGCUUUGACGGGUAGCCGGCCUGAGAGGGCGACCGGCCACAUUGGGACUGAGAUACGGCCCAGACGCCUACGGGAGGCAGCAGUGGGGAAUAUUGCACAAUGGGCGGAAGCCUGAUGCAGCAACGCCGCGUGCGGGAUGACGGCCUUCGGGUUGUAAACCGCUUUCAGCAGGGGCGAAGCUUGUGGUGACGGUACCUGCAGAAGAAGCACCGGCUAACUACGUG